rnacentral:rRNA from 1 species
GAUGAACGCUGGCGGCGUGCCUAAUACAUGCAAGUCGAGCGAACGGACGAGAAGCUUGCUUCUCUGAUGUUAGCGGCGGACGGGUGAGUAACACGUGUAUAACCUACCUAUAAGACUGGUAUAACUUCGGGAAACCGGAUCUAAUACCGGAUAAUAUUUUGAACCGCAUGGUUCAAAAGUGAAAGACGGUCUUGCUGUCACUUAUAGAUGGAUCCGCGCUGCAUUAGCUAGUUGGUAAGGUAACGGCUUACCAAGGCAACGAUGCAUAGCCGAACUGAGAGGCUGAUCGGCCACACUGGAACUGAGACACGGUCCAGACUACUACGGGAGGCAGCAGUAGGGAAUCUUCCGCAAUGGGCGAAAGCCUGACGGAGCAACGCCGCGUGAGUGAUGACGGUCUUCGGAUCGUAAAACUCUGUUAUUAGGGAAGAACCUAUGUGUAAGUAACUGUGCACAUCUUGACGGUACCUAAUCAGAAAGCCACGGCUAACUACGUG